rnacentral:rRNA from 1 species
ACGGCUCAGUAACACGUAGUUAACCUACCCUCGGGACGGGGACAACCUCGGGAAACUGAGGAUAAUCCUCGAUAGGUGAGGGACGCUGGGAUGCCCCCUCACCCAAAGCUCCGACGCCCGAGGAUGGGACUGCGGCCUAUCAGGCUGUUGGUGGUGUGACGGACCACCAAACCUACGACGGGUACGGGCGAUGGGAGUCGGAGCCCGGAGAUGGGGACUGAGACAAGGCCCCAGGCCCUACGGGGCGCAGCAGGCGCGAAAACUCCGCAAUGCGCGAAAGCGUGACGGGGGGACCCCAAGUGCCGUUGGUCUUUUGAUCGACGGCUUUUCGGAAGUCUAAGAAGCUUCCGGAAUAAGGGCUGGGUAAGACUGGUGCCAGCCGCCGCGGUAACACCAGCAGCCCAAGUGGUGACCGCGAUUAUUGGGCCUAAAGCGCUCGUAGCCGGACUAGCAAGUCCCUUGUGAAAUCGGACCGCCCAACGGUUCGGCGUGCAAGGGAUACUGCUGGUCUCGAGGCCGGGAGACGUCUGAGGUACUCCCGGGGUAGCGGUGAAAUGCUGUAAUCCUGGGGGGACCACCAGUGGCGAAGGCGUCAGACGAGAACGGACCUGACGGUGAGGGGCGAAGGCUAGGGGAGCGAACGGGAUUAGAUACCCCGGUAGUCCUAGCUGUAAAGCAUGCGGGCCAGGUGUCUGGCGCUCCUCGAGGGCGCCAUGUGCCGGAGGGAAGCCGUUAAGCCCGCCGCCUGGGAAGUACGGCCGCAAGGCUGAAACUUAAAGGAAUUGGCGGGGGAG